AAAAACAAAAAAAACAAAAAAAAAAAACCUUUAAGUACAUGUAAGUCUAUGUUUUUUUCUUAGUAGUUACAAACUGUCAGGAUACACCUGAAUGUACUUUAUAUUAUGCUCCAUGUGUUCUUGUACUUAUAUUGCUGCAAUAAAUGUACUUUCGUCAUGUGACUUUGGGCAUGUGUAUGCCAAUUUCUAUUACUUUCUUAGUGUGUCUAAACCUUUGUACAUCUUACUUAGCAUUUCUUCCAAGCUUAUGCUCUCUGUAGCUCCUAAUCUCCUAGACAGAGCCUGUGAUGUCAAAGCUACAGUGUGGAGGCUAAUGUUUGUACUCAGCACAGAGCUGCUUCCCAUGUUGCUAUUUUAGGCUUUUAGGACCAUGAUGUCUUACUAUUGGAAGAGACCAUCAAGCUCAGCUGGUUCAGAUUCUGAUACCUGAAUCUUCCCAAACACCAGCAAGGCAUCUUCAAAGGCCUUGUGGCUCAUUAUGUAUUCCCAUAGGUUGUUGCAAAGUUGUCACCCAGUGAGGGAUAGUGUAUGGAUAACUCCCUAGUGAGUGUUUAACUCAGAGGUGUAGGUCUUUUGUAACACUCCUUAUCCCGUCUAAAGGUCUGUUGUAAUGUAUAGAGUCUUCAUAUCCUGUUUGAAAAUGAAUUUAGGAUGCAUCUUUUAUAGCUGACUGUGUUGGGUAAGUUACUUGGUCCUUUGUACCUCAGUUUCCUCAUUUGAAAAAUGAGGAUAAUAGUACAACCUCUUAGAGCUGUCAGUGGAUUAAGUGUCAGUGUAUGAAAUUAAAAAUGCCUGCCAUGUAGGAAGUGAUGUACAGGUUAUUUAUAAGUGGAAGAUGUAAUACACAUAAUUUUAGACUUGACUAAUACAUAGUAUAUAAUAUAUAUAUUGUGUACACACUUGUCUUUGUCUGUUUUUACUGUUGCAACUGAAUGGGAACAAAAUCCCUCAAUAGAGAGGGGUCUUCUUAAAGUAUGGUCGUUCUUGGGAAGAAAGCGAGAGCUGAAAAGAAGUGGGUAUGAUGGAUCAUGCCUGUAAUCCCAGGAGGAUCUCUGUGAGGUUGAGGCCAGCCUGAGCUACAGAGUGAAUCUGUAUCACAAACACCAACUCCCAACAACAAAAAGUGAAAACUUCAGAAGUUCCACUGCAUGAAUGCUCUCAAGUCCAGGAUGAAAAUGAUGAUGCCUUACUGACUCAGCUGUCCACAGGAUCUCAGUCCUAGGAGCCUUAGAUGUGGUCAUCAUAGCACCACACUGACUGCCACUAUGACUUUGGACUUACCUCCACAAUGGAGUACUUCUUUGCCCAAGUGCUGUUUGCUGGGUCUGGAAUUUCUCUGCCACACCAUUGAGGUCUGAGAGUAGAAAAGAGAGCAAAUACCCUAUAGAUAAGAGAACAGUGACAUUUGGUUAAGCAUGUGGACAGAGUCAUGGGAACACAGGCUCUAGUGUAGUGAUUUCAAUGUGUGUGUUGGAGGGGAUGGGCUUCCUUUUAUGGCAAGAGUAAAAUGCAAAAUCCCAAAGGCAUGGCAUUAUGAAAGCUGGAGUACUUUUCUGUGAUGGUUUGAAUUGAUGAUCAGUCAGGAUACAGCUACUUAGAGUUUACUAAAUAAACUAAAAACUUUUGCUCAACAUAAUUUUUAGCAGUGUAUCACUAUCCAGCCAUGCGUUCAUCCAACAAAUAGUAUUAAACUCCUAAAAAUGUGGCCAAUACAGUGGCACAUGCUGGGACUAGAACAGCAAACCAGGAAACACGGUUCAAAUCCUUGGGGAACUUAAUAAUGAGCUAAUUAAAAUAUUUACAAAGAGUUUGUAAUGACUGAUAUUACUGGAAGUUUAAAAUAAGAUACUAAGUGGUGUGAGUAACUUGAACCUAAUCAUGUUAAAAAUGUCAAACCAUGUCAAAAAAAAGGGUAUUUUUGAAAAAUAUCUGAACUGUUAACAGUGGUUAUAGUGUGAUGGGAAAAAGAUUCAAGAAGAUUUCAUAUAAAUGCAUGUGACUUAAACUCUUUUGGCCAUUAAAAAAUUUAAAGCAAUAUGGAACAUUUUAAAAAGACUUGGCUUUUAUAAGCUUUGAUGUAAAAAGGAAAGAUACAAUUUAACCAUUUGAUAUAGAGAGGUGAUGUGUGGCAUUCUGGGUAAUAACAGAAUAUAUGUAUUUGACUCCUGAGCUAAACUUUUUCAAUGUAUACCUAAAAAGAGCUCUGCUUUGAAGUCUUAGUCAAGUGUAGAGCUGCAUGUACGUUCAUUGGCUGGUAGAGUUCUAUUUUGACAUCUAUUGCUUUACUUGGCAUCUAAAGAAAGCGUUGUGUUGAAAAAUGAGCUAAUUAUAUUUUCUUUGCAAAACAAUACACUUUUUUUUACUAAAUAAAAUUUUGAAGAUUAAAAUGA